CCUACGGGUGGCAGCAGUGGGGAAUAUUGGUCAAUGGGCGCGAGCCUGAACCAGCCAAGUCGCGUGAAGGAUGACUGCCCUACGGGUUGUAAACUUCUUUUAUAAAGGAAUAAAGUGAGGCACGUGUGCCUUUUUGUAUGUACUUUAUGAAUAAGGAUCGGCUAACUCCGUGCCAGCAGCCGCGGUAAUACGGAGGAUCCGAGCGUUAUCCGGAUUUAUGGGGUUUAAAGGGAGCGUAGAUGGGUUGUUAAGUCAGUUGUGAAAGUUUGCGGCUCAACCGGAAAAUUGCAAUUGAUACUGGCAGCCUUGAGUACAGGUGAGGUAGGCGGAAUUCGUGGUGUAGCGGUGAAAUGCGUAGAUAUCACGAAGAACUCCGAUGGCGAAGGCAGCUUACUAAACUGCCACUGACAUUGAUGCUCGAAAGUGUGGGUAUCAAACAGGAUUAGAUACCCUAGUAGUC
rnacentral:rRNA from 1 species